UUUGUUUCAUGAUGUGAUUCAUCAUGAAGUUGAAUGUUAUGCUAUGACAUGAUAGCAAAGUCCCAAACAGAAGAGGGGCAUCUGGCAGACUGGGGCAGGUCGUUUGACCAGUUGAAAUGAUUCAAACUGAGGUUGAAUUUAGAUAAGUGCACUGUCAGGGUGCGGUCCGGUAAGAUGUUGGGGUUCAUCAUAAGUUGUAAGGGAGGAAUCGAGGUUCAUCCUGCUUUAAAAAAA
rnacentral:lncRNA from 1 species